rnacentral:rRNA from 1 species
AUACGGAGGGUGCAAGCGUUGUCCGGAUUUAUUGGGUUGAAAGGGUGCGUAGGUGGCGUGUUAAGUCAGUGGUGAAAGCCUGCAGCUCAACUGUAGAGGUGCCAUUGAUACUGACAUGCUUGAGUAUGGACGAGGUAGGCGGAAUUUGUGGUGUAGCGGUGAAAUGCAUAGAUACCACAAAGAACACCGAUAGCGAAGGCAGCUUACUGGACCAUAACUGACACUGAGGCACGAAAGUGUGGGUAGCAAACAGGAUUAGAAACCCUUGUAGUCC